UCGGGAAUUUUGCCCAAUGGACGAAAGUCUGAGGCAGCAACUCCGCGUGAGGGAUGAAGGCUCUCGGGUCGUAAACCUCUUUUCUCAGGGAAGAUCCAAGACGGUACCUGAGGAAUAAGCGACGGCUAACUACGUGCCAGCAGCCGCGGUAAUACGUAGGUCGCAAGCGUUGUCCUGAUUUACUGGGCGUAAAGAGCGCGCAGGCGGCUGGCCAAGUCCGAUGUGAAAUCUCCCGGCUCAACUGGGAAACUGCAUCGGAAACUGGCCGGCUUGAAGGUGGGAGAGGGUAGUGGAAUUCCCGGUGUAGUGGUGAAAUGCGUAGAUAUCGGGAGGAACACCAGGGGCGAAGGCGACUACCUGGCCCAUUCUUGACGCUGAGGCGCGAAAGCUAGGGGAGCGAACGGG
rnacentral:rRNA from 1 species